CUAGUGUGCUACUGGUGGUCCUUGGCUAGAAAUACAUCCUUGGGGUGCUCGCUAGCUUCUCCACAAAAUUUGAGUCAUUUUCAUGGUCCACUACUAUUCUGUCAUAUAAAAACUACAUCUGGAUAAAGGAGCUUAUUUAGGAAGACACUGGCCUUUAUUAAAUUACAGUUGGUAGAACUGCCUAUUGCAGGAAAAUCACUCGAAUGCAGCCUUUCAUGAAUGCCAGCAAAUGGAAUUUGCCAAUGACAAUUACCCUUCAAAAACAGUUUUUAUCAUUUCCUAAAUAGAGCUGUUAUUAGAUUAUCCCCAGAACAGGUGAAUGCAAAAGCAAAUUGCUGUAAAAUAUCAGUGCCUGAUGCAAAAUUUUAACUAUUACAUAAUAGAAAAUUUUGCCUUAACACUGCACUCACCAGCAAGGACUCCACAGAUCAAAUGAGGGCUCUCAAACCUGAAUAGAGCUACAGAAAUCAAAGUGAUUGAGCAUACAUUAAAGGUUAUACUACACACGUCUAGGAGACCCGAAGCCUUUGGUCAGCCAAUUUUAUUUCAUUAUACUAAGAAGGGUUGAGUUGAAGAGAUGGAAAGCAAGAAGCUAUAAUCAGCAUAAAAACUCUGAUCACUUAGUAUGGAACACAAACAUAUUUGGCAGGAUUUCUCAGAAGUCCCAAUUCCAAAAAUGAUUAAAGCCAAUAAUAAGCACUUAAGAAAAACAUGAUACCCCGAUCUGAUAUCUAGAAAACAGCAUCUUGGUUCCACAGAACUACAUACAACAGAAAACAAGGAUCAGAUAUUAAUUAGCUGUGUCUUCUUUUCCUGAAAAAUCCUAUAACAAUGAAAAUGGCUUUCCAUGUUA
rnacentral:lncRNA from 1 species